UACAGAGGUCUCAAGCGUUGUUCGGAUUCAUUGGGCGUAAAGGGUGUGUAGGUGGCGCCGUAAGUCGGGUGUGAAAUUUCGGAGCUUAACUCCGAAACUGCAUUCGAUACUGCGGUGCUUGAGGACUGGAGAGGAGACUGGAAUCAUGGUGUAGCAGUGAAAUGCGUAGAGAUCAUGAGGAAGACCAGUGGCGAAGGCGGAUCUCUGGACAGUUCCUGACGCUGAGGCACGAAGGCCAGGGGAGCAAACGGG
rnacentral:rRNA from 1 species